CGGGAUGUAGCGCAGCUUGGUAGCGCGCGUGCUUUGGGAGCACGAUGCCGCAGGUUCAAAUCCUGUCAUCCCGA
rnacentral:tRNA from 1 species